rnacentral:rRNA from 1 species
CCUACGGGUGACAGCAGUGAGGAAUAUUGGUCAAUGGACGCAAGUCUGAACCAGCCAUGCCGCGUGCAGGAAGACGGCUCUAUGAGUUGUAAACUGCUUUUGUACGAGGGUAAACGCAGAUACGCGUAUCUGUCUGAAAGUAUCGUACGAAUAAGGAUCGGCUAACUCCGUGCCAGCAGCCGCGGUAAUACGGAGGAUUCAAGCGUUAUCCGGAUUUAUUGGGUUUAAAGGGUGCGUAGGCGGUCGGAUAAGUUAGGGGUGAAAUCCCGAGGCUCAACUUCGGAAUUGCCUCUGAUACUGUUAGGCUAGAGAGGAGGUGCGGUAGGCGGAAUGUAUGGUGUAGCGGUGAAAUGCUUAGAGAUCAUACAGAACACCGAUUGCGAAGGCAGCUUACCAAGCUACUUCUGACGUUGAGGCACGAAAGCGUGGGGAGCAAACAGGAUUAGAUACCCCUGUAGUC